UGCACUACUCAGUUGAUACUUCACCUCAGAAACAUAAAGUGUAAUUGUUUUUUAGAAUUUAAAAUGUCUUCAUUUAGUACUGCCGUAAACAGCUUGGGUCAGAGUGGGCCACCUUGUCUGACCCCCCUCUCUAUCAGGAAAGCAUCUCCCGUUUCCAGCAUCCCACGAGCGGCUCUUUGGCCGUAUAUAUUUUUGAUUGUGUUUACAUCAUGCCGCCUAAUCGAAGGCGCUGGGUCUGGUACACACAUUGGAGCAAACAAUGUCAUAAGCCCGGAGACUCAAAUAGGGAACAAUUGUAAUAUCGGUAACGACAACGUGAUUAACACAAACACAGUUAUCGGCAAUGAUUGUACCAUUGGGAACAACGUGGUUAUAACAAAUUCGCAUAUUGAGGACGGUUCUUACAUUGGUAACAACGAUGUCAUCAAAGAUUCGCGUAUUAGAAACGGCUGUCGUAUUGGCAACAACGAUGAGAUUAAUAGUUCAGACAUUGGAAUUCGUUGUAAAAUUGAAAAUAACUCGAUAAUCACAAGGUCUACUAUUGGCAACGAUGGCACGAUUGGGAAUAACGUGAAUAUUGCUGAUAGUCGCAUUAAAAAUAAUGUUGUUGCUAGGGCCAACAGCGAGGUUGUUAACUCAGAUAUUGGUGAUAAUGUUUACAUUCCUGAAAAUACCAAAAUUGUGAAUAGACAUGAUGGUUAAAACACCCAAGACAACAAAGCAUUGACUUAUUACACCUCGACAUCAAAUAAAUCGCACCUCCCGCGACAAGCAUUUUCAAACGUAGGUAUGCAUCCCCACUUCCCAUCCAUAUUAGCACCAUUUAAAAGCCUAGUUUUAACCUUCAUUUCAUUAAAGGAAAGGUUUCUAUCCCAAAAAUUUAUCUUUAGAGGGAUCCAGAGUCACUUCUUCAAAAAAUAGACCCAGGUACUUAGUUAACGUAAAUGCGCCUAUUACCGCCAGUUUAAGCUGACUUCGGAUAAACGUUAGAAAAUUAGAUAUAAGACGUGGUGAUAGAAAAGACACUUUAAGUUAUUUAUAACAAUGAUGAAUUAAUCUUUGAAUUUAAGUAGUAACAAUGAGUAUACAAUCACACAAUAAUUAAUAAAUAGCAAUUUAAUCUGAAAAAGCAGUUGCUUCUAUUACCGACCUAUAGACGAGGUGUGUUUCUAUUAACGUUUUUUUCUGUUUCUAUUACCGACCGCUAAGAAUAUUGCUCUUCAAUUGGGUAUAUUCCAAGAGGCACGGGUUCGAUUUCCGCUCAGAGGCUCGGGAACCACUUGAUUUUUUCAAGUUAAAUUUGUUUUGCUUUUAGUUUUAGUUAAAGGAUGAUGGGCACUUUUCUAUGGAAUCUGGGCGUAAAACCAACAGAAAUGUAACUACUAUUAUUUGUUAGGACUUAGUAUCAGAAACAUAUUUUCAUAUAAAUAACUACCUAAAACUUCCGGGUUUGCCUGGAAAUUGACAUAAUGUAUAAUAGUCAUAGGUGUUUUAUUGCGCAAACAAAAAAUAUAAUCAAUUAAUAUACCUACAUUGAUACAUUAAGUUAUUUAUCAAUUAUUAUGUCCAACAGUUAAGAAGUGGGGUCAACAAAUUGUAUAAAAUAAGUCCAUGUUCUACAUUACGUGCGUAGGACCACACCUACUCGUAGGUACCAUUUAGAGAAAUGAAAUGAACACAGUCAUGUUUCAAUGGGAUUUCUACCAGUUAAGCUUUAGUGUUGUCGCAUAAUCGAUCACGAAUCGAUUAUUAAUCGAUAUUGCCAAAUAACGAUUUAUCGAUUAACAAUUCGAUUAAUCGAUUUUAUUGAUUACCAUCAAUACUAUCAUUUGAUUAUUAAUUCAAUUCCUUAUUUUUAGCAAUAUAAUCGAUUAUUUUAAUCGAAUAAUCGAUUAUGAUUUAGUAAGAGUAAUUAUAAUACUUACUAAAUCGAUAGAAUCAAUAGUAAGAUAUGAUACAAUACUCUCAAUAUGAUCGAUAAAAGCAAUCUAAUUGACCUAAUACUAUUUUUAUUACUCUAAUGUGAUGUGAAAUACUAUAGAAACUUUGCAUAUUCAACUACCUCUAUCUCCGUAUCCCCGCGUAUUUCAGGAUUGAUGUCAUACUAUGAAAUGAAGUACUAGUAUUAAGCUUUAAUUUAGUAUACUUUUUGUUUCUGUUGGUUUAACGCCCAAUAUGCCCAUCAUCCUUUGUUUUUUUUUUCAAGUUCAUUUUUUUUUUAUUAUUAAAAGAGAAAAGGCACGCUUCUCGAAAAUAAAUAAAUAAUCAAGCAGAAAUAGUAGAAUUAUAAAUUCCUCUAUUAUACUUUAUUACGCGAUACCUGUGGGUCUAGACAAAGUGCAAUUAUAAUCGCAAACCAGUCGAAAAGUGGUCGAAAAGCCCCUUUUUUGUAUGGAAUUUGACGGAUUCGAUUUUCGAUUCGAUCAAAAAGUGCGUUUUGUCUAGGGGGGCUGGUGUUCUAGUGAGUAGUGGGGGUCAUUAUUAAAUUGUAUUUGAGUUUUAAUAAAAUUUAAUAUUCAUUUAAUUUUUUAUUUUUAAUUUGACCAUUAUUUUUAAUUAGUUUUUUAUUGAAUUUAAUUGUGUGUAAUUGUGUAUUUUAAUUUAAACUAUGAACAAAAUUAAAUGGACACUGUAUAAUUAUUUUAAAUUAUUUUUUUAUUAUUCAAAAGAUCUUAAAAAGUUACCUAAUAGUUGUGAUAACGCAUGAUUGGUUUGGUGGCAUGUCAUAAAUGUUAGUUAUAUACAAAAUACAGGCUUAUAAGUCUUCGCAGGUGGCGUUAUAGUUAUGAGGCGGUAAUAGAAUUAAGUAUGAAUAUCACUUUAUUCUAUUAGCGACCGUAAAAAAAAACAGUAGCUAGCUAAAAUAUCUACUUUAAUGAAGACGUGAUCAGUGAAGUAUCAUUUUUAUUAGGUUUUAUUUUAUAUCAAAUAGGAACUAAUUAGAAUUUAACAGGUUUUUUAUAAAAUCUAUUGUCAUACAUUAUUACAGAUCGACGGUCCCUACGUAUACUUCAGUAUCUACCAGUUCCGUGAUUUGCCGUUUUUGUUUGCAAAACCUUCAGAGCACCCAAAAGUUUCGGCUCAGUUAAAAAAACAUACAGUUUUUAAUCAAAUUUAACCUUAAAACGUCAAAAAACAAAUCCCGCAACUACAAAAUUAGAACGAUUUCCGCAGUAAAAUUGCAUUAGUGGGAGUUAAGAAAUUUUACGUUGGACCACACGCCUUACUCCGCGCGCCCAGCCCCGCAACUGCCACUUUCAUUCGCGCAGAUCGAGUAAAUUGAUACGUAAUUUAUGAAGGAAAUAGGUAUUAUUAUGGUUUCUGACUUAAUAUAUUUCACUCAACAUUAUACCAACGGCAAAUUAAUCAGUUAACUGUAGGCAUAAGGUAGUUGCGUUGUUUUACUAGGGAAAAUUAAAGUUACUAUUAUAAGUAGGUGGCACUUACUUAUUUUUACGUCGGAAAAUUCAAGCAUCUUCUAGCCGUAACUGCCACUAUAAAUGUUUUACUUUGGAAAAGUUUGUUUUAUGUCUAUAAGUUAGUGCCAGUAACGGUGUUUUACGCUGAGAAAUUGUAUUUUAGCAAUAUCUGGUGGACAUAAAAGUGAAGACAAAACAAUAUAAAAUAUGAUAUAGAACACGACUGAAGUAUCCAGGGUCAUUUAUUAGACUCAACGCAAUCAAGUUCUUCUCCUAUACUACUUUAUAAUACAAGAUACAAGUAAAAAAUCGUAAAAUUUAUUUUAUUUAUUUAUUAAGCAUAUUAAGACAUUCAGAAAUAAAGAUAAGCAGGUAACACUUACAAACAAAAGUUUAAAGUAACUGCAUUUAGAAUCUACUAUUACAUGAUAAUGCUUACAUGAUAUUGCAAACAUAUACCCGUCAGAAGGAUGAGGUAUACCCACUAAAAAUACCCUGGUGCCCCUUCACUCGCUAUAAAUGCUAACUUUGAGAUUCCGGACAAAGAUCUCCCACCUACACGGCGACAGUUGGGACGAGAGCAAUUGGAAGCACACAGCUUUCCCGUACACACACUCACCGUCAGCAGACGGUGGUGGUGGCUUAUGUAUGCAAUGCCUCCCGUGCGGCCUCACGACACCGUUACGCUGGCCAUUACCGAGGAAGGAAGAUAGGAGGCAAUCAUACUGUCACUUUCCCUGGAGCGAAUUCAAAUGCACCCGCACUUGGUUCGUAGUCGCGCUAUCGUACCGCAGCUUCUUGCGGCACCUUGUCUUCUCAGAUAGAGGUGAUUCAUUACCACCCAGGUUUUGUUACCGUCCACAUAGCUUUGACUAUGCUAUCCCGCAAGAAUAUGGUGUGUCGUAUGCUCCUAGCUACUGCAAUACAGGUAGGGCUCGAAGGAUCCGUGCUCAGUCAUGGUGCGAUCGCUAGAGCAACCUUAAACUUCAGCACGAGUGCGAAUAAGGUUCGGCGACCCAACUUAGCCACGGCCCACGCCGAGGUGGUUUAUCAACUAUUAAAAUACAGCACAGUCUAGCGAGUCUCACGUCAAACGUCCUCUCUGUCCUCCUAUGGUGGAGCUUUCACCUCGUUCUUCACGCUGCGUUAAAGUUGACGAUGUAGCCCUGUAGACUUUCUGGGCCUGUUAAGGUCUUAGAAGAUGGGCAGCGUUACCCUUCCCUCUAUAAGGGUGAUGCCUUAGAUGGGACAGAAUCAUGCUUUUGAGGGUGCCAGUAUAGAGGCCUUUCUCCAUAGCCUUCCGACAUAGAGUUUUCGGACCUCCAAAUUAGGGAAGCAGCCACGAAAAAACAAGCUGUCUUCCAUUCGCACGGCGACGGAUUGGAAAAAGUUCGAGCUUACAGUACAGUUCAGGUCACCGUAUUUGCGCUCACUACUUGGAGCCACUGGUGAUUAACAGGAUAACUCUUAGAUAUUUGAUCUGGGCCUUAGUUUUGACAGUGGUGUGGGCGUCAGGUGAAGGUGUCAGGGAUGCCUUUAAAUAUAUGUGGUCCCUGGCCUAGGGCGACCAUAAUGCCGUCUGUGGUGCCCAGGCAAGCCGCCUCGCUGUGAAAGUUAUUUAUUUAUUUAUGAGGAUAUUCUUGUAAUGAUGAAACUAUCUGCAUGGCAGAUGAUACCUUGAAAAACCCAUGUCCUUGAAAAGGAUUCCAUUUAGUACCCAGUCGUAUUCAAUGUUCCACAAGAUCGAACUCAAAAAAGAGUCAUGUGGAUCUUCGGACUCGAUGCCAUGCUGUCAAACCUGGCCGGCACUAUUGACAAAGAAAAUUUACCGGUUCUACAGGUAUUCUUCAGUCAAAAGACCCCUUAGAUAAGGAAGAAUCUUAAGGUAUUGAGUGCCUCUAAUAUGCAACUAUCUGGGAAACGAGGCGGGACGCUGUUAUGCCUCGUCGAGCAGGACUAUGGGCCUAGAGUGAGAGUUACGGUCAGUAGUAGCUGAACUUUGUUCCCAUGUACAAUUACUUAUGUGGCAGUUAAUAAUUUAAUCAACUAUAUUACUCCGACGUAAAAGUUAGUAAGUACCACUUACGUCAUUUGUAAUUAGAAACUUUCCGUUGUAUAAGUGAGUAAAUGACAAAUAAUACACUUAUUGUGAUUAUUUUUUGAUAAUUCUUCAUGUUUUAUAAAAUAUACCUCAUAUAAAACUAUUAUACCAAAUUUCAUCAAUGUAUGAUAAAUAGAACGCGAGCUACACAUGUUUAAACCUUCAAACCGCUCUCCUGUAAAAUUGGCCGUUUUCAGAUACGUUUUUAUACGUAGGGACCGUCGAGAUAUUCUUUCAUGUUCAUUGCAGUUUUAUGCCAAACCUGUGGCAAUUAACGUAUGGCGUUAAUUGAUUUAAUUAUGUGAAAUAUUCUUAUGAAACGAUCAAGAUAACAAAAUGGAGGUUAAAUGCGUAAUUAAAGAUAUACCUAAAUACCAAAAUAAAAAACAUUAUCAAAAUUCUAACAACGCCAUGGGUCGUUAUUAGGAACCAAAUUAUUUAAAGUGUUUCUAUUACCGCCCUUAUUUAAAAUUGUAUUUAAUCCAUAAAAAUACAGCGAGAGGGCUAUAUUGAGGGUUUAUUAAGGAAAGUAAAGUACGAAUUAAUAUUGUUAUGCAAAAACAUGUUGGUAUACUCAUUUUAAAUGUGUUAAAAUCGCUAAUUAAUAACAAGGUGCACCUUAAGUAGCUGGGAGCGCGUCAGUAUGAAAAGUGCGUCCGUUGCGGGCGCGUCCCAUUUAAUGUCAAAUAACUCCGUUUACGAAUUAUUUACGAACACAAACUUUAAUCGUUUUGAUAGUCAAUAAACAUAUCUAGAUAUUUUUUAGGUAACGUGUUUUCUGGAACCUGUUAUUAUGUCUUUUAUGAAAGAAAGAAAAAUAGGGCGGUAAUAGAAUACAAAUUUUGGGGGGUCGUUAAUAGGCGCACUUACGUUACGCUAGAGCCAACUUUUAUGGCUAUAAAACUGUUGAGAUUAAUCGCUAUCUAUCUGUUAUAGAGGACACGUGAGAUCAUUAUUUGGUUUUAUAACCAUAAAAAUUGGUCUAAUUGAUCCCAUAGGUGGGCCCAAAGUGAGGUAUUUUUUCAUGUCACAUUUAUGGUAUAUGUAAAUCAUUUAUUAAGAAAUUAAAUAUGUUUUUCUUUAAGGAUAUUUAUUGGGCUUUCAAAUAACACCAAUAUUGUUGAGGCGCACCAUGAUUGUGUCAGAAGAAAAUCGUUAAAGUUCGCGUCACGGAUGGUGCGGUUUAUUUGAUGUUGAGUAUAGUUCUUGCAACUCACGAAGGCGAGUGAGCUUUACUUGUGUGUGUACGUGUACAUGCCCACAACGAUAGUGUAAUCUCUAAAGCCUGAGCCCCGAUUACGGUCAUUUUUAACGUCUACAAUCCAGACACGCUUCUCGAUUCUGCGAUACGAUUGGUCGUUCAACAGCGUACGUCAGCUGUUUUGACCAAUUGUAUCGCAGAAUCGAGAAGCGUGUCUGGAUUGUAGACGUUAAAAGUUACCGUAAUCGGGGCUCUGGUCUUUUUUUUUGUACCUAAGUAAUGCAUGUUUAUUGAAUCUGUAAAAGAAUCAUAAGGUCACAUUCUGGUAAAUAUCUAUAUUUAACCUUUAUUCACCGCCACGGUCUUCUAAGACAAACGACAAUAUUAUAAUCACAACAUUUUUUAAUAAAAAUAUUUAUACAA